AGUGAACGCUGGCGGCGUGCCUAAUACAUGCAAGUCGAACGGAGUGGCGCACGGGUGAGUCAUAUAUAGCUAAUCUGCCCCUUGCUGGAGGACAACAGUUAGAAAUGACUGCUAAUACUCCAUAGCAAGGUAUGAGACUAUAUCGUAUCAGCUAGUCGGUGGGGUAACGGCCUACCGAGGCUAUGGCGCGUAACUGGUCUGAGAGGAUGAUCAGGAACAUGGGAACGGAGACAGGGUACAAACUCCUACGGGAGGCAGCAGGAGGGAAUAUUGCGCAAUGGGGGAAACCCUGACGCAGCAACGCGGCGUGGAGUAUGACACUUUUAGGAGCGUAAACUCCUGUUGUUAGGGAAGCGGUACCUAACGAAUAAGCACCGGCUAACUCCGUGCCAGCAGCCGCGGUAAUAC
rnacentral:rRNA from 1 species